AGCGAACGCUGGCGGCAGGCCUAACACAUGCAAGCCGAACGGAUCCUUCGGGAUUAGUGGCGGACGGGUGAGUAACACGUGGGAACGUGCCCUUUGGUUCGGAACAACUCAGGGAAACUUGAGCUAAUACCGGAUGUGCCCUUCGGGGGAAAGAUUUAUCGCCAUUGGAGCGGCCCGCGUCUGAUUAGCUAGUUGGUGAGGUAACGGCCCACCAAGGCGACGAUCAGUAGCUGGUCUGAGAGGAUGAUCAGCCACACUGGGACUGAGACACGGCCCAGACUCCUACGGGAGGCAGCAGUGGGGAAUCUUGCGCAAUGGGCGAAAGCCUGACGCAGCCAUGCCGCGUGAAUGAUGAAGGUCUUAGGAUUGUAAAAUUCUUUCAGCGGGGACGAUAAUGACGGUACCCGCAGAAGAAGCUCCGGCUAACUUCGUG
rnacentral:rRNA from 1 species